GUUUGUUUUGGCAGGACAUAUACUAAAAUAGGAAUGAUACAGAGAAGAUUAGCACAGCUUCUGAGCAAAGAUUACGUGCAAAUUCAUAAAACAUUCCAUAAUUUU